CUCAGAAUCAACGCUGGCGGCGCGCCUAACACAUGCAAGUCGAACGAGAAAGUGGAGCAAUCCAUGAGUACAGUGGCGUACGGGUGAGUAACACGUGGGUAAUCUACCUCCUUGUGGGGAAUAACCCUGGGAAACCGGGGCUAAUACCGCAUAAGCUCGAGAGAGGAAAGCAGCAAUGCGCUGGGAGAGGAGCCCGCGGCCGAUUAGCUGGUUGGUAGGGUAAAAGCCUACCAAGGCAAAGAUCGGUAGCCGGCCUGAGAGGGCACACGGCCACACUGGCACUGAAACACGGGCCAGACUCCUACGGGAGGCAGCAGUGGGGAAUCUUGCACAAUGGGGGAAACCCUGAUGCAGCGACGCCGCGUGAGCGAUGAAGCCCUUCGGGGUGUAAAGCUCUUUCGGCAGGGAAGAUGAUGACGGUACCUGCAGAAGCAGCUGCGGCUAACUACGUGCCAGCAGCCGCGGUAAUACGUAGGCAGCAAGCGUUGUUCGGAGUUACUGGGCGUAAAGGGUGUGUAGGCGGUUGCUUAAGUUUGGUGUGAAAUCUCCCGGCUCAACUGGGAGGGUGCGCCGAAUACUGAGUGACUAGAGUGCGGGAGAGGAAAGUGGAAUUCCUGGUGUAGCGGUGAAAUGCGUAGAUAUCAGGAGGA
rnacentral:rRNA from 1 species